AUUGAACGCUGGCGGCAGGCCUAACACAUGCAAGUCGAACGAGUGGCGGACGGGUGAGUAAUGUCUGGGAAACUGCCAGAUGGAGGGGGAUAACUACUGGAAACGGUAGCUAAUACCGCAUACCAUCGGAUGUGCCCAGAUGGGAUUAGCUAGUGGGAGGGGUACAGUCUAACCUAGGCGACGAUCCCUAGCUGGUCUGAGAGGAUGACCAGCCACACUGGAUGUGAGCCACGGUCCAGACUCCUACGUGAGGCAUGAGUGGGGAAUAUUGCACAAUGGGCGCAAGCCUGAUGCAGCCAUGGCGCGUGUAUGAUGAAGGCCUUCGGGUUGUAAAGUACUUGCAGCGGGGAGGCGUUACCCUCAGAAGAAGCACCGGCUAACUCCGUGCCAGCAGCCGCGGUAAUAC
rnacentral:rRNA from 1 species